UGGGAAUGAUGUCGAUUUUUAAAAUACAUAUAUAGUAGGUAAUGUCACACACAAAUUUUCUUUCAUUUAAGGUUACAUUACACAAUGCAUGGUGGCACAAGCAAGUCUUUAAUGCCAGCUCUUAGAAGCAGGAGGUAAAAGAAUCCAGAGUUCUAAGUCAUUCUAACUGCUCAGAUAGUUCAAAGCCAGCCUGGGUUGCAUUCAAACUUGUCUUUAAAAAAACAAGUGACUCGACAUUUGUACAACACAGUGAUAUUUCAGAUGAUGUUUGUGAAAUUGAGUUAAAUUUGAGUGUUGUAAGGAUGAGCCUUCAUUUAUUUGUCCCGACAAGCCAAAUCAACUUACUUAUGGAACUAACUUAAAGCAGUCUGCUUCUGUAAGUCCAGGCUGUCCUUCAACUUGUGUUUCCACAAGCUCUUGCCUCAACCAAGUGCUGAGAUUUAGGUGUGUAAACCAUUUGAAAUUAUUUUUCACUUGGGCUGUGUGGGACAAACAGCCCACAGAGUCUUGUGCUUCAAGGACUUCUUUUAAAAAAAAAAAUCAUAAGCUACUAGUCUCCAGUUACUCGGCCAGACACCUCCCUCCUCUUGCCUUCAAAUUUGCCUCUUUACAAAAGCUGCUUUGCUGGCAGUUCAGUAUGAAUUUAUUUUACAGCAUAUACAAGGUUUUCUGGUAGCUUGCAGUUCCUGAGAACUGCAACCGAAGGCUCUUAAGCUGAGCGGGGGACACACAGUAGGGCACUCACUACGUUGAUUGGCAGUUGAAGUGGCAGUUGGUGUGGAGUCGUCGCUGCCACGGGUACUCUUAUCUUUCCUGGCCACACCCCUGGGCCCAGGAGGCAGCUCUGAACAGAUGGUGAGUCUCCGGUGCCAGGUGUGCAGCGCGCCCUGCGCUGUGUGAGGCACAGGGCUCUUUGGUCCUUGCCGCACCCCACCCAUCCUAUGCCCGCGAGCGCCCCCAGCGCAAUGUGUGUCUCGGUGCUGUCCGCACGCGCGGUUAGCCGAAGGUGAAAGGCUGGGAAAAAAGGAACCCUAGUGCCAGGCAGAACCCGCCACCGGGCCAGCUGCUCGUGGCGAGCACGUUCCUCCCCUCCUCUGACUCCCAUCACUUGGCAGCCACCCCAAUCGCCUGCUCGCCCCUCUGCAGCAGCACACACGCCUUCGCACUUGCUCCCCUCCCUAUUCUCUUUUCUGACACUUCGUGGCUUACAUGGACCACUCUCCAGCGGGAUGCCCUUGGUCCCCGCCCGUCUCUUAGCCUUCAAGGUGGCUCUCCUCGUUCCCUAAUAUUUGGGGAACUCUAGGCGGCUUUUUUUUUUUCCAUAAUCGUAAUCAUUUGCUUGCCUCCUGGGACUCCAAACUGUAAUUGCUUUUACGUGUCUGUGGUCUCGAGGACAAGGAAUCCACUGAGAGAUGGUUUGGGGGUGCUGGGCUGGGAAGAGGAUGCUCUAUUCCGAUUCCGAGUACCGUUUGCGGGGUGGGGGCUGCAAGGAGGAAAGUGCGCUCAGCCUUUCCUUUAUCCACCCUCCCCCCGUCGCCCUCGGCAAGGGCUUUGGGGCGCCUUCGAGGUCCUCUGUGGACACACAAACACCUCAAUCUUCCUGAUCAGGCUAGAGCCUGGAGGUGGGGAACUAUCUGGUUCCUUCGUUCUGCCCCUGGGAAGAAGCCCUGGCCGCUGUGCGUGCACUGCCCCUCCCGCAGUCACAGUGAGAGCUGAAGCGUGAGUCCCAGACCGAUGCAGAUGGCACGCUAUUUAGUCCAGGAGAGGCUCACAGAGGGGUGAGGUACUCGGUUCUCGUGCAGCUUGUCAAGACUCUGCACAAAAUGGUGGUGGCUCUCCUCCUCCAAUCUCCACCACCCACCACUGCAGCACGAAGCCUUUCCUGGGGAAGCUCUCCGGAUGGUGGAGCCCAGGAGGCAGAGGCAGGAGGGUCUCUGUGAGUUCACAACCAGUCUGCAUAAUGAGUUCCAGAACAGCUCAGACUACAUAGAACAGGAUUAACCCUUUAAUGCCUGUUUCUCCACACUUACUUUGUAGUGAGUUCUUGCAUAAAACCUGUUCUUCAAGCUUCCAAAAUAUAUUCAUUUCCCAAAAUAUUUGCAUUUUGUGCUAUCUUUGGCAAGCAGCGUUGAAUUUAGUCAAAAUAAUCCAUGUGUGAAUACUGGCUCUGAGCUAGGCUGGCUGGAGCACGGUGGUCAAGUUUCUUAGUCCCUUGGAGCCUCCGUUCUAAAUCGUUCCAUAGAAGGCCACCUGACUGAGAAAGCUGUUGUGAGAAUUGAGUGUGACCCCAUAUGUGGAACACAUGCAGCAAUGCCUGGCAGCAAUCUGUGCUCAUUAGGUACCAGCCCUUCACCUUGUGCGGCUGAUUAUAAAAAGGUAAAGGUUGUGCAAGCCAACCACAGUGCCAGCCACUCAGAAAUCAGACAGCACUAAAUAACAAUAAAUAUGCUGUCUGCUUCUCAAAUCCUUAAUAUUAGUAUGAAUUGAGGACAAGGCUAGAGCUGGAGCCCAGUGGCUAAGUGCUCGUGAAGCACACAUGAGGCCAUGAGGCCCUGGAUUGGCCUCCCAGUAUCAAUCACAAUAAGACAGACCUGGUGAAGCCAUGCCAGUACUGGGGAAGAUAGCUCAAGGCUAUCUUUGGUUAAAUAGUAGGUCUGGGGGCAGCCUGGACUUUGUGAGCUCUUGUCUGAAAACAAAAAGAAUGGUUUGGGAGCGUGUGUGUGUGUGUGUGUGUGUGUGUGUGUGUGUGUGUGUGUAUUAUUGGGAAUUGAACCUUGAGUCUGGGACAUGCUAGGUUCUCUUCCAUGGAUCUAAGUCCCAGCCAGAAUUCUUUUUAUUUUUUUAAUAUAUUUUUAAAUUAUUGCUAGUGAAUUUCAUGCAAGUAUACAAUGCAGGUUUUGAUCAAAUCCAUCCUCUACACUCCCCCCGCCCCCCGCCCCCUAGCCAGGACUCUUUAAAAGAGCAGAACCAGACCACAGUCUUAAGUUCUCCAUAUAUUCUCAGUGCAAACCAAAGUGAAAAUGACUACCCUCACAGUGUGUUAGCAUGAUCUCAAUAAGUAUACAGGCAAAAGAUUGAUACCACCCUUUUUACAAGGAGAUGUGGCGAUGAUUCAGUAGUAAACCUGAGAUCAUAGAAUCAGAAGGGGAAGAAGGGUGGGGCUGUGGCUCAGUGGUAGGAUUCUUGCCCUAACAUGUAUGAGACCCUGGGUUGGAGCCCCAGCACUCAACUGCAUUAAUUAGGAAAGAAGAGGAAGGGGGCCCUGGAAUCUUAUUUCCUGAGCCCAAGAAUGAACUUAGAUCCAGUGUCUCUCCAAGUGUGGUGGCACAUCAUUCAGAAGACAAAAACAGGAGGAUUGCUUGGCGACCAAGUUUAAGGCCAGGCUGGCCUACAAAGUGUAUUCCGGGAUAGUUAGAACUGUUACAUAAUGAGACUCUCUGUCUCUAGAAAACAAAAGCAAGCCAGGAGCUGGUGGGCCGUGCAUGCCUUUCAUCCCUGCACUUAGGAAGCAGAGACAGGUAAAUCUCUGAGUUCCAAGCCAGCCUGGUUUCCAGAGUGAGUGCUAGACCAGCCAAGGCUACACAGAGAAACGCUGUCUUGAAAAACAAAACAAAACAAAACAAAAAAGAAAGAAAAAAAAAGAGAGAGAGAAAAAGGAAGGAAAGGAAAUGAAACAAAAAUGAAAAUUAAUUAAAACAACAACAACAACAAAAACAAUCAGAAUAGGUGUCCCCGUUUGAGAACUAGAGAAGCAUAGGUGGGAGGCCUUGAGUCUUUGGUAAGGAUUGGCCAUCACCUCAACCCUCCACAUCCUUCCUUCAGCUCUGAUCCAUUUCUCCAAGGCUGUCUUGUACAUCUCAGUUUGAAGUGCAAGCUUAAGUAAUUUGUGUGUGUGUGUGUGUGUGUGUGUGUGUGUGUGUGUGUGUGAAUACAUAUUAGUUGAACAAAUGUGUGUUAAAAUAUGAAUGCACGGUCUUCAUUUCAGGAGUCAGCAAGGCAGAAGAAAUGAUCUAGCUAUCAGUAGUGGAUCUUCUGCUCUGUCAUUCAAAAGGUGGGGUGGGUGACCACGCUGCUGGUUAUUCAGAAUGCCUUCACACAGAGGCUCUAGGCUACCCAUCCUAUCCUAAUGAGAUUGGCCGUUGCUACAGUUAACUUGAAGGGUUUUAUGGUUUCCUGCAUGUGUUGUUUUCCUGCUUAAUGUUAAAAAGAAGAAGAAGAAAAAGCUCACGUCACUAAACUGAAUUUCCCAGGGGGCUUUUGUAUCUUCUGCAGUCUGGCUUAUGCCUUGGUUAUGAUGAGAUACCUCUAUGUGUGGAUAUCUGUAGAUACAGGUGAUAACAAAGUUAGCCCAUUUUCUUUGCUUCUGACAGUUUCCAUUCAAGACAGUUGGUUUAAAUGGAGUCCUGCCAACAUGCCAGGCACAAGUCAAGUCGUGGCAUGAGCUUUGCAGCCAGAGCCUUUCCUUCAACCUGCAGACUUUGUGGUAAAGGCCAAAGUUACAACUGAUUUAUACACCACCUUGCUUUGAACCGCCCCUAAGACACUCCAGUGACAAGACAUCGACAUCUGAUUGGAAGGUUUUGGAUUUUAUUUUUAAUGACUUGGAGAGAAGGAACAAAUGAAGUAUAAUUUACUCAGC